GCGAACAGACUGACCUGGCACGGUGGUCUGCUCCCUGCCAAGCUCUGUCUGCGGGGCACCAGUGACUGCCACAUGCACAGGUGCUGUCUCCAGUGCUUCCAGAUUAUGGAAGUGUUACCUGGAAAAGUUCCUAUCCCUAAGGUGAGCAAGUCCCUGACCGUAGCCAGGAGCCAGCCUGGAGGAUCAUUCAAGAGUUUCCUCUGAAUAAGAAAAUUUUACUUUCUUGAGGUAGCAUGGAGCUGAAUAUGAGGCAGUCAAGGAUACUUCAUAUAUAUUGGUGGUCUGAUACUACAUAAAAUCAACCUCUGGCGAGGACAGGGAAAGCAAGAGUUUAGGAAAAACCUCCUGGCCAGGAACUGCUGUGGGAAUCCACUCCCAGAUCUGAUUAAAUCAGGGGGUUGAGGAUGACUUUCU